GUAAGCACGCAUCAUCAUCAAUCCCCGGAGACGAAGCACUUCUUUUUUUAUUGAUUUUGUUUUUCGUUUUGGUUUUAGAUUUGUUGGCUUUAUUUUUCAAAUUCUCUUUUUCCUUUCCUCUCUUGCGCUUUUCUGCCUCCAGUUGGAUGCCUUUGUGUUCUCUCUCCUUUCCCCUGUGUCUUCCCCUUCUCUCUCUCCCUCCCUUGACGCCUCGUUUUUUUUUCUUUCGUCGUUUUUGUAUCUCGCUCUCCUUCGUGCCGACCAUCACCAUCAUCUUGCCAGUGUACGUCCCUUAUCAGGUCCUGUCUCUGACCUCGCUAUCACACGCGCUCUGGUCUCCCCUCUCUCCAUCUCUGUCGUUGCUGCUUUCGUCCCCCCAUUCACACAUCACAUCCUUAGUGUCGGCGCGACGGCUCGAGUCUUCACAACUUCUGCCGGCCCUUCGACCUACACAUCUACGCCCCCUCUCUUUCCGCGCGGGCCUACGCAAACCCCUGAUCACCACUCGACUCUAAACUUCCCUUCCUCGCCCUUCCCUCUCCUUUUUUGUUUUGAUUAUAUUUUCUUUUUUUUCUGUUGCUGUUCCACCCUUUCCGGUUUCUUGUCGUCCCCGUGCUUCAUCUCCAUAUUGAGCUCUCUCACUUCUUUUCCUUUGUCUUUCGAUACUUUCUCUUGUUUCUACACCCUCCCGCCUGUCUGUCGGCCUAUCUGUCUCUCUGUUGGCGAUACUGUCUGCCGAUCAUCACUGCCCCCCUCCCCUCCCCUCCUCUCCUCGUCCCCACCCCUCGUACUGCGUCCCUCUCUGGGCUCGCACAGCCACUUCUUAACAGGAGCAGCAACAGCAACUCAAGCGACGUAUAACACGUAGGUCGCCUCUUUUUUUUUAAAAGCUCCUCUCCAUUUAUUUUUUUUUCUCUCGCUCACUUUCGCUUUCCCCACUCUGCGUCCACAAACACCCUCCCCCCACCUCAGCGUCCCUCCCCGUGCCCUCCGCCGGACAGCAUCACCGCCUCCAUCGCCAGUGACCGUGUUUUUGAUCAUUUUGUGAACGAGAACGACGAAGACGGCCAGUAGCAACGGCACCCACACGAACGCAGACACGGAGCCGCUUCUCUCCCUCUCGGUUUCAGUUGUGUUGCCGGUCUCUGUCCGUCUGUUGAGACUGUCUUUCAGCCCUCUUCCCCUACGCACCUUCACCCCCUCCUCCUUCACUUCAGUGAGAACUCUUGAACUUUCCCUUGACCUCCGCCGCGUUCCUUCUUUCCCUCAAGAUCCGCUCCAACUUCCCCUACCCCCUCCUCGUAUUUUUGUUGCUUCCCGACUACGAGGAUAGGACCACGACGACCGUCAUACAUACCUCAAGCGGGUAUUCGUUUUUUUUUUGGGUGCGCCUCACUCUUAUUUCGUUCUCCCUUUCUCUUUCCCUUUUUUUUCCUAGCCCUCGCGCUAGCAGCCCAUCUUCACCAUCCUCUCCGUUUUCUGCACAGCCGCCACCGGCGAUCACUAGCUUACCGCAUUAACAAAAAAAAAACAAAAGGAAAUAAUAGCAGUAGCCGACGAAAAAGAAGAGCGGCAGAAUACUGGUCGUGGCUGUGUGUAUGCCUGUGUCUGUGUAUGUUAGGCUGACCGUUGUAAGCUGUUUGUCCCACUCUUUCUUUCUCCCCGUCUGACUUUCUUUUUCGCGCUUCGGCUGCAACCUUUCUCACACCAGCGGCACCAUCAGCGCACGGUUGCGUGUGUUUUCUUGUGUUUUGUGUGUGUCGCUUGAUUGCGUGCGCUUGUGUGUUUCUCCUUUUUAUCGUUGCGUUCCUCUUUUUUUUUGCGCCUCUUGGCUUCGUGCCUGCGUGUCUGUGUGUUGCGUGCGUGUGCGCGUGUCUGUGGAGAGCUUCGCCAUCAUCGCCUUUGACGCACCGGUUUUGUUCACCUGCACUCGCGCCCUCACGCUCGUGGUUGCCUGUUCGGACCCGAGCAAGCCCCACAAUACCGAUCACAAAAAAAGAUCGUUGUGUUCAAGGUGUCGAAGAGACUGUGGUGCAGACAAGCACCCAUACGCAAAAGCACAAGUACGCGGAACAGCGAGGAGGGAAGGCCCACACGGCUGCUGAUACUGCAAGUGUGGGGGAGGUUAGCAUACAACGCCGACACACACACACACACACACACACGCACGCACAUAAGUCGAGAGAAAAGUCGAAGCUUUCGAAAAGGAGAGGUUGACAAUUUUGUUAUCUUUUUUUUUAUUUUGGCUUUGCUUCAGGCAAGCAUAUCCUCACACCUACCCCCUCUCCCACGGCCGCUCUUCGCGUUUCACGCCUCCUUUACCCAAGUAAGCACACACAGAGACGACAAGAGAGGUUCCUCUGCGAGAUUGCCACUUGUGCACCCCUCCCCCUUCCCCUUCCUUGUCGACCUGCGCACCAAGCAGCGCUCUCAGCUCUUCCUCUGUCUCCCUCCCUUUCUCUCUCUCCCCGUCUAUCCAUCCCCUUUUAUACCGCUUCGCUGCUGCUUUUUUUUUUUUCGUGCAUCGCUUAAGUUUUCUUUUCUGUUUAUUCUGUAUCCUGAGUGCCCCAGUAUAUUUGCCGCGUUGUUCGUGGUAGAAUGACACGGUGAAAAAAAAAACAAAAAUAACAAAGAAAAAGUAAAACAACCCCGAGUACCUGUGUUGCUUGGAUUAAGCAAGAAAGUAAUCAUCUGCUUCAUUUUUCUUCCCUUCGCCGUGUCUGUGCGUUUGCGCGUCUGCGUGUGCGUCUUCGCGCUCUCUUCUUAUUUUCCCAGUACAGCUUUCGUUUUUUUUUGGUGGUGUUUUUGCUUCGCACUUGCUCUCGUUGUCUCGCUUGGCUAUUUAUCCCUCCUCCUUCCAUCACUGCACUCCCCCCUUCUUGUCGUUCUUCGAGUGUUUGCGUGUGGCACAGCUCCUGCGGUUCGCACUACCCCCCGGAACCUCUUCUGCCGUUUCUCUACUUUCUGUCUCUUCUCUUCUUCCCUCCCCCUUUUUUACCACAGUUUGUGCUGCUCUGGGGUGCACUGUUCCGCGUGUGUGCGUGUGUCUCGGUGGUGGCGCAUCGCGCCAGAACCACUCGAUUCUCUCGUGUUGGAUUGCAUGUAUGUUUGGAUUCGCUCUUUGCCUUUACUUGCCUUGACACUUUCUCGGUGUGUCGUUCUCUCUCCCCCUUCCUUUUUUCUGUUGUUGGUUGUUGUUUUCUUGUUGCUCUUGUUCCUCGUCUUCGCGGUCGACGUCUUUCAUCGCGGCUUUGUGGUCGCUACUCUCUCUUUUGUGUUUCCGCCCCUCCUUUCUCUGUGUUUGUGCGUGCGUGUGUGUGUUGUGUGUGUGCUCUUUCUCACCUUCCGUUUGGUCGCUUUCUAACAAAAAAAAUUAUUUUCCUCUCGUGUGGUUUGCCCUGUUUAUCACACUUCAAGUCUUCGCUUUCGCCACCUCUCUAGUAGUUGUUUUCUUCUUGACUUUAUUGUCGAUUUAUCUGCGCUUGCUUCUUAGCACUCUGUCUCUCCGUAUUUCUUGCCCUUCUCGCUGUCUCGCCUUCUCAAUCUCUCUCUCUCUCGCGCACGUGCGCGCUCUCUUCUUUUUUUUUGCGUUUACACAUUUUGCCUUUCUCUAUCCGCUUCUUCUUUUUUUGUGUUCGUCGCCUCCCUCCGUGUGUGUGUGUUUGUGCGCUCUACUUCUACUUGGUUGUUUGCUCUUCCUUCUUCACUCUUCUCCUCCCUGCUUCGCUCUUUUUCAUUGCCUGUUUUCCUGGCGUGUGCGUGUGUCGGUGUGUGCUCGCGCGUUGUAUAGCCUCCGCCCUUUGUCUCCUGCGAGUUUACGUGCGCUCAUCGGUGUUGUUGUUUCUUGCGCUUAUACUUGCUUGCGCGUGCAUGCGUGCGUGCGUGCGUGUGUGUGUGUGUGUUUGCGUGUGUACGUUGGAGUGAUCUAUCACCCUUCUUUGUCGUCUUCUGGUAAGCUUCAGCUGUUUCCUUUCGUCGUCUUUUUCGCCUUUUCUUCUGGUUGUGCGCCUUUCCUUUUCUGUUCUCAGCCCCCCCCCUCUCUCUAUAUAUAUCACCCCACUCUUGAUUGUACCUCAUCUUGCUCCCUCUUUUUCGCCUGCACGACUUGCUGCUCUUGUUGUGCACUUCUGGUGUUUCUGUUGGUCAUCUCUUGCUUGUUUCUUUUUGAUGUUUUUUUCCUCUGCUGCCCUCUCGUGCGUUGCAUUCUCUGUGGCUCUCCUCCCUUGCGCGGUUGUUGUUGGUGGGUUUGUACUCUUUCCCGUUAGCGGCCGCUUUCUGUUUCGUCUGCAGCCUUUGCUCUGGCGGCUUUUUCUUCUUCUUUGCAUCCGCGAGCCGGCCAGCGCAAGACACGCCCAAGGGAAAGGAGCACCGAAGCGCAGCCAGCACCGUCAUCAAUAAAAGUGCAGCAAAGAAAAGAAAAGAGGUGAACACAAGCACGAGCGAAAAUAAUUCGCUUCUGGCACACUGACCCUCCGCCCUCCCUCCGGUAGGCAAUCCUCAUUAUCUGGCAUUAAUCUCACUUCCUCCCACACCUUCCACCACCGAAGACGCAACAGAGGGGCGUGACGGAAGAAAAGAAGAAACGCACACACACGCACAUACACUCGAGAAAGAGAGGUAUAAUAAUUACGGGAUCCGAGCUGAGAAGGCGCACCUCCGUUCGGUCCUUCCUUUUCCCCUCAACACACCGCAAGCACUGUGAAAACCAGCGAGAAGACAAGCGACACAGGAAGUAAGGCAAAGAAGUAGAAGAACGAAGCAAAGAAGCGAGUGCUGAAUCCACAAACUAUCAACCCUCGAUUCAAUAACUCACGAGCGUCCACUUGAUCACGCCCCUGUCGGCGCACUUGUCUGUACCUGCGCGCGUGUUCGCUGGCUCUUUUUUUUUCCUAUUUCUUUCUUUUUGUUGUUGUUGCCUUCGCCAUUGGGGAGUGGGCGGGCGCAUUAGCGGAGUGUUUUCUUUUUGUUUGGCCGUCUUUCCCCGUUGCCUUUCUAGCACGACAUCAAAAUUCUUCUCCGCUGUACCUCAAGUACACACGCACUCACACACACACACACGCACCACUACCACCUUGCUAGGACGGCAAAAUCGCGCUCUUCCGCGUACACGCGUAACGUCCAGCUUCUUCCCUCUUAGUCUCUCCUUUCCCCAGGCAAAAAGAAAAGAAAACGAGAUUUAGCGUUGUAGGCAUCAGCAAACAGCAGAAGUAGUAAGAACAGGACCGGCACGGGUUACGCGGCAGAGCCAAAAGGAAUACGAAGAAAAAAAGGAAAAGGGUCCGGGCAAGCGCCUCUACUUCCUGUCUCUCCGGCCGCGUCCGCAAUUUAGCCCCUCUCUUUCUUUUUCGCUCCUUUUCUCUUUCCGCCAUUGUCUGCCCGUCGCCCCCCCCCGCCUCCUGCGUGAUUGUGAGCGGGCACUGAAGCAGAUCGACACGGAAAAGCAAGCAAGGGCAGAGCAGGCGAGCGUUCUUGACGUAUCUGUGAGCGAAGGACCAGCCGCAAAGGAUAGCACAAAGUUUGUACGCGCAAAAGGGAGGCAAUCACGGAAGGGGAGAGUGGCUGGCUCUUGACAGUUUGUCGAUACAGCGAGGGGUCGGAAGAAACGCGUCACUGCGAGUGUGCUUGUAUGUGCCUGUACAUCUGUCGCUCGACUCUCGUCCAUCACCCGACUCGCAUUCCCGCUCGGAAGCCUAGCGUGCCUUUUUUAUUUAUCUUCUGCGUGAGUGUGUAGGGUGGUGUGUGCGUGUGUGUGUCGGCGCUUACGUACUGCUUCAGUGUGCUGUGUGGAGGGUGUCAGGGGGUUUCCGCGUCCACCUUUCUAGUUGUGCUGGCGUCUCUCUGUCUUCUCGUGCUCUCCUUUAGCCUGCUCUGCCUUGCUUGGUUUACCGAUUUGCGGAUUGCUUCCCUAUCCUUCUGUGCCCCGUCAUCAUCAUUUUUUUAGUAAUUGAGAGAUACGAGCUCGUUAUUUCUCUCUCUAGUUCUGUGUUUCUCGGACGUGUUGUCGUUGUUUUCCCUUCUGUUGCCGAGUUCGUAUCGCUUCCUCAUCGACGCACUUUAUUGUAUCCUCUACAAGCGCACUUCAUCUCCCACUACGCACUCACCAAAGCAGGUCUGUUUGUAUUCGCGCCCGUUUUUCUGUGCGUGUGUGUGUGUGUGCCUGUUUCCGAGUGUGUUUCUCUAGUGCGUGCGCGCUUCCUUUGCUGCUUUUUUUCCGUGGCUCUCUUUGUGUACUUGAUUGAUCUACACCCACACCUUCCCCUUCCGUGUUCCUCACGCCCUUUCGUUUUUGGUUUUUGUUUCCUCUCUCCUCCUUUGCCUCCUCUUUUUUUUUCGUCCGUUUCCGUAACCGAUCUUAGUUUUCUAGAGCUUGAGCUCUUGGCUUGUUUUUCUCUUCCUCUCUCGUUUCUUUUUGCCGUCUCCGCUGCGUGUUUUUUUUUUGUGUGUGUGCCUGUGUCUGUGCCUGUGCCUGUGUGUGUGUGUGUACUUUCGUGCACGUGUGUGUCAUUCCGAGUCCCUUUUUUUUUCGUGUGUGUUUCUCUGUUUUUUUUUCUCCUGCUUGCUGUCUGUUUUGCGCUGUCGUUGAGUCAGCUCGCUGUUCUCACUAUUUAGGUUUCGAAGCCAAACAAAUCGAGACGAAGGAAGAUUUUUAUCGCCUUCACCCCCCCCCUCCACCUCCUCUUCCUCUCUCUUCGUUUUCUUGUCGCUUUCCCCUCCUUCCCUUUUUUUUUGCCUUUGCUCUUCUCCUUAAGCGCCUCUCUUUCUAUCUCCCUCUUAUGCUCGUGCGUCUCUGCGCCGGAUACCUUAUCGUCUCUUAUCUUUCUCUCUUUCAGUAUCUGAUUUUGUGUGUGUGUGUGUGCGUGCAUUGGCGCCACGUGAACUCAACAACGAGCAACGCAGUCCCUCUUUCGAGCCCCACUUUCUCCCCGCCGCUUUCUCCUUUCUUCCUCCCUCGUCGCCUGACGGGCCCGCAGGACUAAUCGGUGGAGGAGGUGAUCUUCGAGAGGUAUACGUGUGCAACGAGAGGCAAAAAAGAACGAAAACAGCAAAGGUAGUGCCUGUGUGUGUGUGUUAGUAUUUGGUUGUUUCUCCUCUCUCGUGCAGUCUCUUUUUUUUUUUCGUCUUUUCUGCUUGCUUCAUUGUCUCUUUCUGUGUUCUGUGUGCGUGUGUCUCCCUCAUACUUACAGAAAUAAGCAACACAGAGGGAGAGUGUAAACGUUUGCAGGAGGCUCAACAGCAACGAGCAACAAAAACGCGAAAAAAAAAACGAAGCAUCCUUCGUCAUCCGUCUUUCUCUUUUUUUUUCGUUUGUUCUUGGCGUAUUCUCGGUGGCUGUUUAUUGAGUGAAGUGGGUGAAGAGGCACUCUAGCGAGUCAUAAGUUGAAGAAAACAUACGUUUAUCCCCGCACAUAGGGAUCUGCGUGAAUCGUUUGGCUCCUGGCCUUCCUGUUCCUCCGCCCAUUCUUCCUGACUCGACUUGUGCACGCACGCACACGGCGCCCUGUGCCGAUGCCUUCAUUACAGAGAGACCCGAAUUCAUGGAUGGAGGCUGCUGCCGCGCAUCCGCCGCUUACAGCCGUGCCAAACACGGUGUCUGCGUCGCAGAUGGGCCACGCGAACACCUCCACGCGGUCGUCGAUGCGGAGACGCGUUCACAGUGCUACGGCUGCUUCGGCUUCCACCGUUGGCGCUGGUUCACCGAUGCCGCAUUUCAUUGGGGCAGCGCCGCAGGCAUACUCGUCACCGACGUUCUACAGGGAUCCGACUGCCUUGCGUGGUAACGACAGAGCCGGCACAGCAUCACCGUUUCGGGUGCUUUCUUCGUCACAGCAGCAAGCAGAGCUGCGCGCGAAUCGAAGUGACAGUCGCACGAUGCCGCCACCGCCGCCGCCGCCGCCGCCAAAUCUGGCGCACGAGCACGACAGUCGACAAGAGAGGAGUUUCAUCUUUCAGCUACGAGGCCUUCCAUUUGCGGCAACCCGAAAAGAUGUCGAGUCUUUUUUACGCACCGUUGACUACGACCAGUUGGACGUUGGAACUUUAGCCACUGGAGAGUCGAGUGGCAACGCGUUUGUGGAGUUGCACGGCUUGCGCGCAGCCGAGAAACUGGGCCGCCUGCACAACACGGUCAUCACCGUCGCAGCUGAUGCCAGCGUACCGGCGCGGGAACGUCCCCGCCCCCGAUAUAUUGAAGUUCUGGACGCUGACGCUGCUAGGAGAGAGCAGGUGCUGCGUAUCGACGCUCUCACAGCGAGGAGCGCUCUGCCGCUUCCGCGGCGCUUCCGCGCUGCGGCCGCUGCAGCCGCAAAUACUUCCUCUGUAUCUGGCACCUCCACUGACGCUUCUCAGCAGCAGCAGCAGCAUCCGGUGCGACAAGCGCAGCAUCAGGCUUUUGUGCAGCCGCCACCGCAGAUGUCUGCAGAGGGUGGUGUUCGGUACUUCACCACUUCGCCGAUGACGCCGCUAUCGGUGUCGUCCACGCUAAUCACCCCCGUCUCGUCUCAGCGCUUUCUGGAUGUGUCAAGGUAUGUCUGCUCCCCAAGCGCGACGUGGAAUGCGUACGCGCAGCAGCAACACAGCGCGCCUCCACUGCCAUCGUCGACGAUGUCAAUGCCGCAUCUUGUGGCGUCACAGCCAGCGCCUGUAGGUUCCUCUGGCGCACCGCCGAUGGUGCGUAUCCAGAAUGUUGAAGGCAGCGGGGUGAUGCGUAGCGCGACUUCAGCACCUUCGGCGUUCUACCAGUUUGCCACUCCUAUAGCUCCACAGACGCAAGAUCCGCAGCAGCAACGCGUCCCCAGCACACCGAAUGUUUCUUACUUUGUUGUCGCUGCAGUACCUUCGCCCGCCACGCUGUCUGAGGCGCGGAGCACCUACUAUGUGGCGCCCCUGUCGUCCACGCAAGCGGCCACUGCCGGCAGCUAUUACUACUUGGGCAGCGGCAGCCCCUAAUGCCCUCUCCCUUUCCCUACCAUCCCCGCUGAACGCCAUCUCGAGGUCUCCAACGGUGGCGAUAAUCAUGCGUGAUCAGCAUCUCUUUUUCUUUCAUGUGUGCGUGUUGAUGCGCUUUUCUCUCCCUUUUUGUUGUCUCUGUUGUUGUUUUAUGUCGUUCUCUUCGUGCUUUUACUGCCGCGCGCUCUCUGCCCUUCGUUUUCUUUUCCUUGGCUUCCUCUCGCCUAUCUGAUCUCCUUCGCCCUUCUUAUUUGAUAAUGCCUAGCACAACUCGACCUACAAGCUCUUUCUCUCUCUCUGUUUUUGUUUGGUUGUUUGAUUUUCUCCGUUUUUUUUUUGUCGCUUUUGGUUUUUGUUGUUGUCGGAUCCGUUUCCACUCCUAGAUAAACCGGAGAUGAGAAGUGAGUGCUACCACGAGCAGGCGCACGCUCUCCCCCUCCCCCCUACACACCACCACCACCAACACUUCUGGACCCGGUUUCUAUCGAUCACCGAUCCCUACUCCCUCCCCUUACGCGUUUGCCCAAGCGAUACCUUUUUUGUUGUUCUCUCCCAAGCUCCUGUUUUGCUGCUUGGCUCCUCAGCCCACCCACACCCUUUUUUUAUGGUUUCGCUUCAUAUCUACGAAGUUUAUGUUUUUUUUUUGUCUGCUUUUCGUUGCUCCUACUUCGUCUCUGUGUACCGGUGUGUUGCUGUGCGGGUGGCGCCUCCCUUCUCUUUUCUCUCGUUUUCUUUUUGCUUUGUCCGUUGUUUAUCUCCCUUUUAAACUGACAUUUUCCUCCCUCCUCCUCGCCCCCCCCCCACGCACACCUUUCACGCAGUCUUUUCUCCUCUUCCCGCCCCACCCCGCCCCUUUCUUUCUAUGUGCGCGUUUGCUUCUUUUUUUAGCUUUCGUUUUGUCUCCGAUUUUCUUGCCCCACCCCUCGCUUCCCCUUCUCCGUCUUCAGCGCCUCUCCCCUCUCGUCUCUCCUCCUCAUACUCUGCGCGUAUACAUGUGUGCGUGUGUGUAGUCUACUCGCACGUGCUCCCUCCCCCGACCCUCACCCCGUACAAGCACAUACAUAAGACUGAAAUAAGAAAAAAAUCGUUCUGAUCAUCAUCUUUUUCGUUGCUUUCUUCGCUCUCUCUCUCUCUGUGCUCUCGCUUCAUCAGUAAUAUGCUUCCGUCUUCUGUGUAUGUGUGUCUGUGUGCUCGCAUCUUCGCGAGUACUCCUUUCCGCCCCUUCACAGCCUUCCGUGCGGCAUUUUUAUUUUUCGUUUUGUUUUGUGUGUUUCUCUAGUAUGAUGACAGGGUUUGCUUCUUUUCCCCUUUCUUAGGAUGGUCUCUCGCAGUCUCUUCAGCGCACUCCACAAACAUGCACGUAUAUGAACGCAUACACUUACGCCAUUUCUCUUCUGUUCAGUCGUCGCCUUUUUUUUUCAUGUAUGCCACCCCGCUCUUCCUCUAUUUUUUUUUUGUGUUCCGCCGCACCCUCUACAUGCGCAUGCGUGCGUGUGUGCCUCUGCUUUUGUUUGUUUGGUUGCCGUUGUUUCCGGCUUGCUUCCCUCCGUGUGUAGUGGUCCUUUUUUUCUUGCAUUUUGUGUAGCUGUUUUCUUUUUUUCUGUUUUCUCCGUUUGUUCGUCUUUGAUGCAAGAUGUCUUUUUUUUUGCUGUUGUUGUUAUCCUCCACUUCAUCUUCCUCUCGUCGUCUCUUUUGCCCCUUUCCUUUGUGUGCACGCGCCUGUGCGCGUCUUUGCCUCUUUCCUUCUCUCCCUUUUCUCUCGCACUCUUCUCACAACGAUUCUUUCUGCCGCCUUUGCACAAGGCGUCCACAGAUGCGGACACUCGAAUAUAUACUGCACUCAUGAAACUCGCCCACUCUCCUUACCACCACCCCGUCUAUCAUCCUCUUCCUUGACAGGAACAGAAGAAGAAACAUAAAAGGAGUUGAGGAUCUUGUGAUACCAGAUUUGCGUAUUGCUACUGCGUGAUCUCACAUCGUGCCGUCGCCGCCGUCCCCCCCCUCCUCCUCCCAUCAUCCCCGCUUCUUCCACGUACGGAUUCCACUUGACUCAUCCUCGUUUUUUUUUCUCUGUCGUACACCGAGAGGGUGAAGGCGGCGGGCGUCGGCAUCCGAGAGUACGGGGUGGUGCACGCUCUUCCUCCCUGUCUGCUUAUCGUUUGCUUUAUUUCCUCUUUUUUGUCGAUUCUUUUUUUUUCUCUCCUUGCCUUGUGGUGCUUCGGAUUUCAUUGUACGCGUGUGUGUGUGCGCGUGUGUGCUUUCUUCGAACAGCGACAACAAAACAAAACAGUGACACACACACAUACAGACGGAGGGUUUCUAUGUGCUGUUAUUCUCUUUCCGUUUCUUUCCUUUUCUUCGUUCCCUCUCCUUGUGCACCCCCCCUUCCCCCCUCCACACACACACACACAACGCUGUUUCUCGUCGUCAUCCCCCUUUCCUCCCUCCUUUUCUUCUGUCUUUGCUUGUUUGCUUGUACCGCCAACCCCACUUUUCCCUCUUCUCUCUCCCCCUUUCUUUGUGUUUUGCGCUUUUCUGUGACGAUUUCUCAUGCGUGCGCUUGCUCUUCCAUAUGGUUUCUGGUUUUCGGCUGCCCUGACCCCAGCAUCAUGUCUUUCUUUGUUUUCUCACAAGCGGCGGAAGGUGCGUGCACAUCUCUGUACGUGAGGAGGGAGAAAGGCCAACGAGGCGGCGUCGACGACGCGGAGUGCGAAUCUGUAUGCUGUUGAACGCUCUUCUUCCCCUCACCCCGCUCCUCUGUCUUUCCUCUUGUCCUCUUGCUCCACCUCUGGUGUUGAUGCCCUUCUGCCCAUCCGCAAAGCCACUUCGUCCGCGGACGCACAGCUGGGCCCUUUCUUUUUCCUGCGCGUGUAUGUAUGGUGCCCUUGGUCUUGUUUUUCUUUUAGAAGCGUUCUACGCUUUCGUGCGUGUGUGCGUUGUCAUGUGGUUUUCUGUUUCCGUUCUUCGUCCUGACUUGUUCAGUCUUCCUGCCCGCGCUGUUUCUUUAUUUUUUUCUUUCAUUUUGGCGCCUUGCGAGUGCGUUCAUCUGUGUGUGCGUGUGCGCGUGCGUGCGGUUGUGGCAAUAUGGGCUAUAUAUGGAUACGCUUUUUUAUGUACAUCUGCACGGAUACUUUCUAUGACCCCCACGUGUCCCCGCGCUCUUUUGUUUUAUCUUUUUCUCGACCCUACCCGCAGUACGUUCACGUCUGCAUGUGUUAGUGGGUGUGCGCAUGGCGUCUGCUCCCUCUCCUACUUCUAUAGCAACUAUAUAUAUGUGCGUAGUCUGCCAUUCCCCUUCUGUCUCUUGCUCUUUUUGUUUUUCAUCUUCUCCUUUUCAGGUGAGCAGUCGGUUGUGUGAGCGUGUGCGUCGCACCUUACCUGCGCGCUAGUGUGCCACCUCUCUCACGACCUCACCCCCUCCAUUUCUGUCCCGUUAAAGGCAACGCGCGCACAUUUUAGUAAAGCCAGCAACUCAACUUCGCCCUCCCUCUCUCUCCAUCUCUGCGCCGCUGCACACUCACGUAGACCUAGUAGAGACACUGAAUAAGGAAAGAAGAAGAGGCGUUCACACAUUCACCACACUGUAGCCAACACGGCUACACACCGCUUCCUUCUCCAACUCGCAUGAAUAUGCUUCAUGUGGAUAGCAACAAAGAAAGUGCAGAACGCCGAAACGUCCUACCCAUUCUCCUACAUAGCUGUCUCUCUCUUUUUCAAUUAUUUUGUUUCCUGAAUUUUUGUUUUGUGACUCACAUUACACCGACCCAGAGAGGUGCGUUGAGGCGGUGGCAGCAGCAGCAUUAGAGCCGAUGGAGGCACGACAGUGAGCAAGACAGGGAUUGGGCUUCUUCAUCAAGGUGGUCUUGCUUUUCGUUUUGCCUUUGAUAGAAGAGCAGCACCAUGUUUGUCUCACCUCCUCCGCCUGUUCCUUUUUGGCUGAGACGGCACGAAGAUGGCGCUCACGUAAUAUGAACUCUCGAGUAUCCCAAAAAGAAACAUCGAUCGCCUUCUAGGCGGCUGCAUCCCUGUCGCCUGGCUCGCUAUGUCUUCUCCUUUUUAUUUUUACCUUCCUUUUGCUUUCUCUCUUUUGCCAUUUCCUACCACCACCUCUCUCCUACUUAGAUUCGUUUUUUUUUUUGCCCUUGUUCUCUCCUUGGGCUGUCUAUGUCCAUGUCAAUGUGUGUGUGUGUGUUGACUGUGAUCUGCUCUUCCAUCAUUUUCUGUUUCUCUGAGCUAUUUUAUGUUGUUGCUUCUUUCCCACCCGCGGUUCUCGCGUUUUUUGUUUUUGAGUGGGCGCUUCUGUGUGUUUGGUCUUGCUGGUUGUGGCCUUGUUUGGAUUUCUCCUUCGGUUUUGCUUCUUUUCGUUUCUUUUUUUUUUUGUUUGCUUUCGUUGUGUUGUUCGGCCCACCCGCUCACCACACUCCACUCCGCACCCGCCCUCCCCCCUGUGUCGUGUCCGUUGAUCGUGCUCUCGACUGUCGACUUUCUCGUUUUUUUUUUGGUUGUGUUUUGUCUCCCCCGUCAUCUCUCUCGAGGCUUGCCUUCGUCCAUGGCUGCAUUCUGUCGUCUCUUCCUUUCCGUCUUCCACGUCUCGUUCGCACCCUCCCUUCCACACUCAAACCCUCCAAUGAGGGCUAUUUUGUUUUGUAUCUCUCUGUGUGUGCAUGUGUAUGUGCGUCGCAAUCGCUGGCGAGGCAAAAGACCUCUCCCCACUCGGUUCUGUGUAUCUUCUUCGCUCGCCGCCACUCGACCCCGCCCCACCCCCCAUCUGCCCACCACAGCCUCGAAAGCAACACUCAGCAUCGCACCUGCAAUUUUCUUUACUAAAAGAGCCACUCCAGUUUUAUUUUCUGGCGCUCAUUUCUUCCCUUCUCGUUUCUUGCCCUGGCCUUCCGCAUAACGCUGGCUGCCGCACCAUCGUAUCAGGAUUGAGGACGCCAUUUGUGACGUAGCCAAAGGCCUGCAGCCUUUCCUCAGAAAUGCCUGCGGACUAUCGGUUUGGGCGUGCAGAACUGCGCUGCCGCGGUGCGGCCGAAGUGCGAAAUAAUGAUAACUUUCGGACCAACUCAAUACGAAUCGUGUCUGCGAUGCACCAGACAUAAGGCCCUUUCUAUGCCCCUUCGGAGCAGCAGGCUACGUGGUCUCCUCGCGAGCAGGCGCAUGCCUAUCCGCGGGCCCCUUCCGCUCGACGCACCCGCUGCCACAGGACUCAUGGCCGCGGCCCCGCCUGCGUCAAGGCGUGCGGUGCAGCCAUGUCCGUGUAGGCGCGCCUACCGCGCAGCACGUACCCCGGGAAUAGGCGAUGAAGGACAGGGAGCGCCCGGCAGGCGCAUGACCUGAUUCGACGGCGGACGGCGCGCCCCCUAGAGAACCAGGACGUCGCCGCUAAUGCGGCACAGGCAGGCGAGCUGUGGUUGUGUAGGCAUCUCUGUGUUGACGUGUUCCGGCUAGAAAGCCAGGCUGCAAAGAAAAAGAAGCGAAGGCGUCGCAUCGCCUUCUCGUCCCCCUGUCUUUGAUGCACGUAUAUAUGUAUAUUCAUACGCGCAUAUACGCAUAUGUGUAUUUACAGUCCCUGUGGUGAUGUUCUCGAAAGCACAAGCAAGCGCGUAUGCGCACACUUUUUUUUCGUAUAUCGUGCUCAUUUAUUAUUAAGUGUGCUUGUGUGUGUGUGUGUAUGUGUGUCUGCGUGUUUUUUUUUCGGCCUUUUGCGAUCAACUCAAAGUACGCCUGCGUCUCAGCCUACGGGUUGUGCCGCAGAAGGAUGUGUGAGGAGGAAACGUCGUUUGUCUUCUCUGGCACCGUUGUCCUUCUUCUCUCCGGCAAGUAGUAAAAUCGGCGCCACGCACUUUUACUUUCACACUGAAAAAGAAGGGUAAGGCUGGUUUCGACGGGGUUGUGGCGAGAUGGGGGAGUCGCUCUUCUUUCAUUUGGGGGUUCGCGCACGCACACAAACACUCACACACACACAUAUAUAUAUGCUUGUAUCUGCUUUUUAGUUCUCUUCAGUUUUUCUUUAGUUCUGGCCAGCGCUUUCGUGGCGCGGCUCAAUUUUUUUUUUUUCGGCGGUGGACAUCCCAUCCUUCUCCCUCUUCUUGCCGUUCAAAAGCAAACAAAAAAGGGUGUUUUGCGCCAUGGUAGAGGUCUCUUCUAUUUUCUUUUGGGCAGCUUUACGGCCGCGACAUAUAGGUGCGUGUGUAUGCGUGUGUAUGCAUGUAUUUAUUAGUGGUGGCGUCGCGGGUCUUUUCCUCUUGAGUUGAGUAGGAGGCGAACUGGCUCUCCUGCAUCGUCUUUGUUCUGUUGUUUCUACCCGACCAGCAGUCCCCUCUCCCCUCAUCAUGCCUGCCACCGCGUGAGGGACACGAUGGAUGAGGGAAAGGCGGACGCUGCGCUUUCGUAGACGAGGUGGAAAACAGCGGCCAGCAAUCAAGUGCAGAGGGCAAAGUCCGUUGGCCCUCUAUCUGGCGACAUGCAAAAGGUCUCUGGCACCGCUCUUCGCAGGCUACUAAAUGGUAUGGGGCGCCGUCAACGCGGUGAUUGUUUUCUUCUCAUGGUUUCUCUACCCCCUCCUUCUCAUUUUACACGGGUGGGGACAGCAAGCACUUGCAGGCACACGCAAACGCAUGUAUACUAGCUCGAGUGCGCCUGCACGCACACGCAUGUGCACAUGGAGUGAGCUGCGCGAAAUCUGAAGUGCUUCUCUUGCCUUCUCCCCUUACCCCACCCUGAACCAGCAUUGUAGGAAUGACCAAGACGACUCUCUCUCUCUCGCCAUGCUUUCACGCUUGAACAACGUCUGUGCGAGUAACCGACCUUUUUGUCCGCCCAGCCGUUCAAAAAAAAAAACCGAAAUACGUGCUUGUAUGUGGCGUCACAUCUGAUUCACGCUGAGGAGCCCACAGCGGGGGGAGAGCGUUAGAGGCGUCUUCUCUAUUAGAGAAAGAUGCAGAUAAGCUAAACACGCAUAUAUGUAUAUGUAUGUAAGGCGAUAAAAGGAAUAAAGAGCUGAUUCGAUGCCGACAAAAGACGAAGAAAAGUGCGAAGCCACGCAGCGGAUCAGGGAAAGUACACAAAAAGAAAGAGGCUCAAGACAACGAAACGUUCCCCUCUCACCCAACGAGAGCAGUAGAGAGCGCUGGCGUGGGGUGCACGCAAUGACGCACGAAAGGUGUGUGCUGUGAUGGCCUUGUAAAAUAAGAAAGAAUAACAAUCACAGUACGAAGAAAAAAGCAGCAAGGAGGGAAUAGCGGAUUUGGUCUCGCAUUGCGUGCCACACAAACCACAACAAACGGCAGCACGUGGCGUUUUGCUUUGUGCCUUUUGGGCGAUAACGAAAAAAAAAAAGAAAAGCGAGUGAGACACGCACG
rnacentral:misc_RNA from 1 species